AUUGAACGCUGGCGGCAUGCCUUACACAUGCAAGUCGAACGGUAACAGGUCUUCGGAUGCUGACGAGUGGCGAACGGGUGAGUAAUACAUCGGAACGUGCCCGAUCGUGGGGGAUAACGGAGCGAAAGCUUUGCUAAUACCGCAUACGAUCUACGGAUGAAAGCAGGGGACCGCAAGGCCUUGCGCGGACGGAGCGGCCGAUGGCAGAUUAGGUAGUUGGUGGGAUAAAAGCUUACCAAGCCGACGAUCUGUAGCUGGUCUGAGAGGACGACCAGCCACACUGGGACUGAGACACGGCCCAGACUCCUACGGGAGGCAGCAGUGGGGAAUUUUGGACAAUGGGCGCAAGCCUGAUCCAGCCAUGCCGCGUGCAGGAUGAAGGCCUUCGGGUUGUAAACUGCUUUUGUACGGAACGAAAAGACUCUUUCUAAUAAAGAGGGUCCAUGACGGUACCGUAAGAAUAAGCACCGGCUAACUACGUGCCAGCAGCCGCGGUAAACU
rnacentral:rRNA from 1 species